rnacentral:rRNA from 1 species
UGCAGUCGACGGAAUCUUUCGGGAUUUAGUGGCGGACGGGUGAGUAACGCGUGAGAAUCUGCCUUCAGGUUCGGGACAACAGCUGGAAACGGCUGCUAAUACCGGAUGUGCCGAGAGGUGAAAGCUUUAGUGCCUGGAGAUGAGCUCGCGUCUGAUUAGCUAGUAGGAGUGGUAACGGCACCCCUAGGCGACGAUCAGUAGCUGGUCUGAGAGGAUGAUCAGCCACACUGGGACUGAGACACGGCCCAGACUCCUACGGGAGGCAGCAGUGGGGAAUUUUCCGCAAUGGGCGCAAGCCUGACGGAGCAAGACCGCGUGAGGGAAGAAGGUCUGUGGAUUGUAAACCUCUUUUGACAGGGAAGAAGACAGUGACGGUACCUGUCGAAUCAGCCUCGGCUAACUCCGUGCCAGCAGCCGCGGUAAUACGGAGGAGGCAAGCGUUAUCCGGAAUUAUUGGGCGUAAAGAGUCCGUAGGUGGGUCACCCAGUCAGCUGUUAAAUAGUGAAGCUUAACUUCAUAGAGGCGGCUGAAACUGGUGGUCUAGAGUGUGGUAGGGGUAGAGGGAAUUUCCAGUGUAGCGGUGAAAUGCGUAGAUAUUGGAAAGAACACCGGUGGCGAAAGCGCUCUACUGGGCCUGCACUGACACUGAGGGACGAAAGCUAGGGAGCGAAAGGGAUUAGAUACCCCUGUAGUCCUAGCCGUAACGAUGGAUACUAGGCGUUGCCCGUUAUCGACCGGGCAGUGUCGUAGCCAACCGUUAGUAUCCGCCUGGGGAGUACGCCUCGCA